rnacentral:sRNA from 1 species
GCUGGGAAUGGUGGUGCAAUCCUGUAAUCCCAGUGACUCCGAAGGCUGAGGCAAGAGGAUUGCAAGUUUGAGACCAGUCUCAGAAAUUUAGCAAAGCCCUAAGCAACUUAGCAAGACCCUACCUCAA